UACGAAGGUCCCAAGCGUUAUCCGGAUUUAUUGGGUUUAAAGGGUGCGUAGGCGGGCAGGUAAGUCAGUGGUGAAAUCUCCGGGCUUAACCCGGAAACUGCCGUUGAUACUAUCUGUCUUGAAUAUCGUGGAGGUAAGCGGAAUAUGUCAUGUAGCGGUGAAAUGCUUAGAUAUGACAUAGAACACCGAUUGCGAAGGCAGCUUACUACACGAUCAUUGACGCUGAGGCACGAAAGCGUGGGGAGCAAACAGG
rnacentral:rRNA from 1 species